AAAACUAAUAUUCUAAAAUUAAGCCUAGAAAACAUUCUAGAAACUAUAAAAGUUUUAGAAGUCGUGAAAAUUCAUGGAAAAAACCCCAAAACAAAUUCUCUUCAAAGGAAACCCCAGCCAAAAAACCUUUCUAUAAAGAUCUUACAUGCUUCAAAUGCAAUAAGAAAGGUCACACUUCAAAGUUUUAUCGUUUUAAUCGCAAAAUCCAGGAACUAAACCUGGAGAAGAAAUUUCAAGUAAAAUAUAUAAUCUUUUACUAAAUGAUUCCUCUUCGUCAUAUGACUCUGACUCAUCCGUGGCUUCUGAAAAGGCCCUUCAGGAUGAUGAACUAAAUAUUUCAUCUUCUAGUUCAGAGUCAAAUGAAAAGAAUAUCUAUGUCCUCACUAAAGAUCAAGAAUUACAACUUGAAAUAUUAAAUUCCAUUUCUGAUCCAAGCCUAAAACAUAAAUUUCUUGAGAAAAUCAUUUCCUCUUUAAACGAAAAAGAUGUUAAAAACAUAGAUAAUUCCCCAAAAUCUCAUGGUCCAAGUUCCUACAAAUCCUCUUAUGAUCUCAACAAAAGAAAGAAAGACACCUCGAAAACAACAAUACAAGAUAUUAGAAUUGAAAUCAAAGAAGUAAAAAAUGAUCUAAAAAUCCUCAAAGAAAAAAAAGACAAGAUUCUGAAUAUUUUCACUCGAUCAUAUCUUCCAUCAAAGAUCCUCAUGAUUCUAGUUAGGAAGAACAAGAAAAUGAUUGCUUAAAUAAUAAAGAUGAAAAUAUCAAAGAACAAAUUCAAUCUCUAGAUAUGGCCCCUAAUGAUUUCCUUUUCGUUCUACGAGAAAUAACCUCUCGAAAAUAUAAAAUUAGAGUUACCAUUGUUUUUUCAAAGUACAAAAUGGACACAAUUGCUUUGUUCGACACUGGUGCAGAUCUUAACUGUAUCAAGUCUGGGCUUGUUCCAAAAUGUUUUCAUCUAGAAACUAAAAAACUAUCUGCUGCAAAUAACUCUAAACUUCGUAUAACAUCUAAAGCAGAAGCUUUAAUAUUAAAAGAAAAUAUUCUUAUUAAAACUGCAUUCGUCUCACAGAUGAUAUAUAGCAAAAUGUUAAUUAGGAACACCAUUUAUUAAUUUGAUCACACCAUAUAAAGUUAUGGAUGAUAAAAUUUCCUUUAAAAAUCAAAACAUAAAAUUAUCUUUUAAAUUUCUCGAAACACCAAAAAAGCGAAGUCUAAACUUAAUAAAAUCUUGUUCAAUACAAGAAAACUUUCUAAACUCUUUAAUCCAUAGUAAAACCUUUUCCACCUGGAACAUUUAAAAUCAGAAGUUUUACUUCAAAAGACCUUAGAAACCUUAAAUUCAAAAGAUAUAAAAGAGAAAAUUUCGAACUUAAAUAAAUUAUUUGAGAAAGAAAUUUGUUCAGAUUAACCAACUGAUUUUUGGAAUCGAAAACAACAUAUUGUUGAUUUACCUUAUGAUGAAAAUUUUCUUGAAAAAGAGAUUCCCACAAAAGCUCGUCCAAAUCAAAUGAACUCAGAAUUAGA
rnacentral:lncRNA from 1 species